rnacentral:rRNA from 1 species
GACGAACGCUGGCGGCGUGCUUAACACAUGCAAGUCGAACGGAAAGGCCCGGCUUUUGUGGGGUGCUCGAGUGGCGAACGGGUGAGUAACACGUGAGUAACCUGCCCCUGACUUUGGGAUAACCUCAGGAAACUGCGGCUAAUACCGGAUACGAGCUCCUGCUGCAUGUUGGGCGUUGGAAAGGUUCGGCGGUUGGGGAUGGACUCGCGGCCUAUCAGCUUGUUGGUGGGGUAGUGGCUUACCAAGGCUUCGACGGGUAGCCGGCCUGAGCGGGGGACCGGCCACAUUGGGACUGAGGUAAGGGCCAGGAUCCUACGGGGGGGAGGAGGGGGGAAUAUUGCAGAAUGGGGGGAAGGCUGAUGCAGGAACGGCGGGUGCGGGAUGAAGGGCUUCGGGUUGUAAACCGCUUUCGGCUGUGACGAAGCGUGAGUGACGGUAAUGGGUAAAGAAGCGCCGGCUAACUACGUG